GCCAGUUUGAGCUGCAGACAUGUACAGUUCAGUAAACCACUCCACGUACCGAAACCCUGCUGACCUCGUCUAUCUCUUCAUGGCUGCUGAGAGCACUGCUGGUGAAAGCAUGUCAGCCUCCGUGGGUUGCCAGAUCAAACAAGCCACGUGGGGACAUCGGGGAGGUCAUUUUGAGGACCCACCAACAAGGCAAACAUUACUGGCAUCAGACCAAGGGUGAAAUCUGCUUUCUCUGCUGCGGGAACACAAGUUAUGGGUGAAAAGCAUGACUGGGCCCUUACCCUGUGGAGGGGGUCAUGAUGCAGCCUCCACGGUCAACAGUCAUCCUACAACCGCAGCCACGCUCCGG